UACGAAGGGUGCUAGCGUUGUUCGGAAUCACUGGGCGUAAAGCGCACGUAGGCGGACUCUUAAGUCGGUGGUGAAAUCCUGGAGCUCAACUCCAGAACUGCCUUCGAUACUGAGAGUCUUGAGUCCGGGAGAGGUGAGUGGAACUGCGAGUGUAGAGGUGAAAUUCGUAGAUAUUCGCAAGAACACCAGUGGCGAAGGCGGCUCACUGGUCCGGUACUGACGCUGAGGUGCGAAAGCGUGGGGAGCAAACAGG
rnacentral:rRNA from 1 species